rnacentral:rRNA from 1 species
CCUACGGGUGGCAGCAGUGGGGAAUAUUGCACAAUGGGGGAAACCCUGAUGCAGCGACGCCGCGUGAGCGAUGAAGUAUUUCGGUAUGUAAAGCUCUAUCAACAGGGAAGAAAAUGACGGUACCUGACUAAGAAGCUACGGCUAACUACGUGCCAGCAGCCGCGGUUAUACGUAGGGAGCACGCGUUAUCCGGAUUUACUGGGUGUAAAGGGAGCGUAGACGGCUGUGCACGCCAGAGGUGAAAGCCCGGGGCUCAACCCCGGGACUGCAUUUGGAACUGUGUGGCUGGAGUGUCGGAGAGGCAGGCGGAAUUCCUGGUGUAGCGGUGAAAUGCGUAGAUAUUAGGAGGAACACCAGUGGCGAAGGCGGCCUGCUGGACGAUGACUGACGUUGAGGCUCGAAAGCGUGGGGAGCAAACAGGAUUAGAUACCCCUGUAGUC